CUGUGAAGGUAUAAAGGUAUAAAGUUGAUGAUAAGAGGGGUGCAGUGGGGCCCUGCAGGACCUGGAGGAGGAAUGGCUGUGUGGCACCGCAUGGAUCCAACUGGUUUAACCACAGAUGCUGAAAGCUGGAGUUCUCUAAUCACGGAGGCUAUGAGAAGAGCGCCCAGUUUCGCAUGCAUUGGAGGUAAGUGCUGAUGUUUCUGCAGUCAUCACACCAGGUGUGUCUAAGACCUGCAAUUAAGGAAAAAAGGGCUUUUUCCUGGAGGUGGCAGGAAAGGGGAAGGCUGUAAAGAGAUUAGAGCAGUUGCUGCUCAAAGUGAAAAAACUGCAGUUCUUGUCUGAGCUCUGAGAAAGAGCUUCAAGGGUGAGAGGAGACCAUCAAACCAAAAAUAUGUAAGUCUUUGGGUGCCUUUUGCAGUCCCGUUAUACUUUACAAGCGCCUGGAGCUUGCAGAUCUCUUAUUGAAGCUCAUUUGCAAAGAAGCUACUUGCACAUUUUCUCUGUUAUUUCCUCAGAUGUCCUGCGGGUAUCCAAACCCAGACCUGGUAUUUGAUCAUCGCUCUGUGUUUCCCCAGAUUCUGCUACGGUCAGCUGUAUACAGUGUUUCUUGGCAGAUUUCUGUCAUCCGACUUCUCUACUAAAACCGAUGUACCAAACUCCUGCUGGGAUGCAGUGUGCUUGUGAGAUGCCAGCAGGCCUUGGAGUAUGAGGAUAAAGCUGAUAGGACUGGCAUGGUCCUGCCUGCAGGCUCAUUGCUAUGCUCUUACAAAUACAAGUGCUGCAGCAGUGACAGUCUAAGGAUAGAAGAGGUAAUACAUUUUACUAGAUUGACUAAUACAAAUGGAAAAAAGUGUAUAAACUUUUGGGUUUAAGAUAAGGGGAUUCUGAGACCAAGACCUUUCCUGCGUUUUUUGUUGAAACUGGAUCAAGGUCCUUGUUGCAGAGGAUGGACAGUCUAAUAGUGUAUGAACUCCUAAACACACAGUCUGCUAAGCCCAUCAGGAAUGCAAGGCUUUGAGUGGGAUCCAAUAAGACAGUUAAGUUCCUGAAAGAGGACUUGGACAGAUGUGAGGUACAUCAGUGAAAACCUGUGAUUCAAGAGACUCCAUUCAGCUGGUAUUUAGUGCUGGAGGUGCUCAGCUUUGACGUUUGCAUUUUCAGGGCAGAACCUAAAGUGAUGUCUCUUUGCAUAUCA
rnacentral:lncRNA from 1 species